GCCUGGGUGGCUCGGUCGGUUGAGCAUCUGACUUCGGAUCAGGUCAUGAUCUCACAGCUCGUGAGUUCGAACCCCGCGUCGGGCU
rfam:Felis catus isolate Cinnamon breed Abyssinian chromosome B4, whole genome shotgun sequence.